rnacentral:rRNA from 1 species
GACGAACGCUGGCGGCGUGCCUAACACAUGCAAGUCGAGCGAAGAACUUCGGUUUUUAGCGGCGGACGGGUGAGUAACACGUGGGUAACCUGCCUCAAAGAGGGGGAUAGCCUCCCGAAAGGGAGAUUAAUACCGCAUAAUAUCAGGAUCUCGCAUGGGAACUUGAUUAAAGGAGCAAUCCGCUUUGAGAUGGACCCGCGGCGCAUUAGCUAGUUGGUGAGGUAACGGCUCACCAAGGCGACGAUGCGUAGCCGACCUGAGAGGGUGAUCGGCCACAUUGGAACUGAGACACGGUCCAGACUCCUACGGGAGGCAGCAGUGGGGAAUAUUGCACAAUGGGCGAAAGCCUGAUGCAGCAACGCCGCGUGAGUGAUGAAGGCCUUCGGGUUGUAAAACUCUGUCUUUGGGGACGAUAAUGACGGUACCCAAGGAGGAAGCCACGGCUAACUACGUGCCAGCCGCCGCCGUAA